UCCCCCAUAUCUUUGUAACCAUGAAAACAAUUACAGGAACUAAACAAUUGUGGUGGUGCGUGAACUAAUCAGUUCGUGAACAUGCUGCUGUGUCCUGUUUGAAAAUAUAUCAAAAAAGAGGCUUGCU
rnacentral:ncRNA from 1 species